rnacentral:rRNA from 1 species
UACGAAGGGGGCUAGCGUUGCUCGGAAUCACUGGGCGUAAAGCGCACGUAGGCGGCUUACUAAGUCAGGGGUGAAAUCCUGGAGCUCAACUCCAGAACUGCCUUUGAUACUGGUGAGCUUGAGUCCGGAAGAGGUGAGUGGAAUUCCUGGUGUAGCGGUGAAAUGCGCAGAUAUCAGGAAGAACGCCAAUGGCGAAGGCAGCUCUCUGGGACGGUACUGACGCUGAGACGCGAAAGCGUGGGGAGCGAACAGG